rnacentral:rRNA from 1 species
GAUGAACGCUGGCGGCGUGCCUAAUACAUGCAAGUCGAGCGACCGGACGAGAAGCUCGCUCCUCUGCUGUUAGCGGCGGACGGGUGAGUAACACGUGGAUAACCUACUUAUAAUACUUGGAUAACUUCGGGGAACCGGAGCUACUACCAGCUAAUAUUUUCAACCGCAUGGUUCAAAAGUGAAACACGCUCUUCCCGUCACUUAUAGAUGGUUCCGCGCUGCAUUAGCUAGUUGGUAAGGUAACGGCCUACCAAGGCAACGAUGCAUAGCCGACCUGAGAGGGUGAUCAGCCACACUGGAACUGAGACACGGUCCAGACUCCUACGGGAGGCAGCAGUAGGGAAUCUUCCACAAUGGGCGAAAGCCUGACGGAGCAACGCCGCGUGAGUGAUGAAGGUCUUCGGGUCGUAAAACUCUGUUAUUAGGGAAGAACAUAUGUGUAAGUAACUGUGCACAUCUUGACGGUACCUAAUCAGAAAGCCACGGCUAACUACGUG